UUCGCUUAGGGCCAGGACAUCCAACUUCUUUUCAUUCAUAACAUCAGCAAUCAUCUGUUUCUUGUCAUCUGCACUACAUCCAAGCACAUUCAAGCAUCUCAGUUUUAUAAAGUUUUUCUUCUUCUCUUUUUUAGUAAAUGUCUACAUGAGAAGGGGUUACUAGCCCAUUGCUCCCGGCAUUUUAGUCGCCUCAUACGACCCGCAUGGCUUACGGAGGAAAGAUUCUUUUCCACUUCCCCAUGGACAAUAGAAGAAAUAAAGAAGAACAAGAGCUAUGUAGAAAAAGGAGAAAAACCUAGAUGUAUGUAUAUAUAUGCAUGUGCAUGUCUGUGAAGUGUGACCAAAGUGUAAGUUGGAGUAGCAAGAUAUCCCUGUUAUCUAGCGUGUUUGAGACAGAAAAAGACACCAGCAAUCCUACCGUCAUGCAAAACAGUUACAGGUUUCUGUUUCAGUUCAUCUGGCAGGACGGUAGUACUUCCCUGGGUGGUUGCUGUCUACCAACCUAGGAUUAAUAUUUCAUAUUUAAGUAUUUUAUAUUUUCUAAAUAAUAGUGUUUGUCUGUUAUUAUUUCUUUCUAUUCAUUAAUUUUCCUGAGGAGGAGCCAGCCUUGGUAAUACUGACUGAAGUUGUUACAGGGCCAAGUAAGCCUUCACAAGGAGCCCCCCUUUGAGGACAAAAGAGGGAAAAUCCUCACAAAUGAGGCUAAAUGGAGGGAAAGGAUUGUGUGGUAUUCAGACUCAGUCUGAGGAAGGGGAUUAGAGGUGCAGUUUUUUAGAUCAGGUUCCUCUACUGUGUUUCAAGUAGUGGAUCCUUGGGAUUCUCCAGAUAAAGAUUUUUAUUAUGAAGGAUAAUAAGAGCUCUCCACUUGUGGGAACAUUUAUAUUAUUGAGAUGUCGGGUUCAAAGAUUUAAGACUAUCAGAAAAUAUUAUCAGCUCUUGAAGGCGAUAAACAAGCUCAAAACAUAUAAAAUCUUUAAUAAAUGGUUAAUUAUAUCAGCUUGUUAUACAGUUUGAUAAUUGAACUUUUGAGAAAUAAACUGGGCUAUCCCACAGUUCAGUGAAAAUGGAGUUCAAUUUAAAAUAAAAAUUUCUUACAUUUCAGUCAUUUUUAUAUUUUUCUACUGUUCAGCUUUUAAGUUUCAUCCUGUGGGGGAACUUUCAAUAUUUUUCAGUAGCUCAAAUAAUCCCUUCCCAGUAGAACAAAACUGCAUUUCAGUAUUGUGGAAAGCUGAGGCCAACAAUACUGUAUUAAGAGCUUAUUGAUUUAAAUGAUAAGUAAUUUUGAUUUACUGUUUAUAAGCCAUUUGACCUUUUCAGGAUGGGUCCUAUAGUUUAAUGGCUUUGAAGCCCAGGUCAAUCCUGUAGUUCUACACCAUGAGCUCAGCCUUCCGAGAUAAGCUGUGAGCAUUAAAUUUGGGUCUAGUGCUGUUAAAGGACUCACACUCAAGGAAACUGCUUGAAAAGGCUUCACCAAACACAGCUGAUGCUGACGUCUUUUAUUCAACAGUAAAAAAUUAUACUACAGUUUGCAAUGUUCAUCAGACGGAAUCAAUGUUUUGCACCAUAUCUUCAUGAUAUGACAAAGGGGCAAUAUGCACAUAGUGCAAGUGUCAUCAAAAUGGUUGUCAUUAUACUCAAUAUUGCAGUAUUUAAUGAAUAGCUUUACAUAUCCUAAAUAUCUGCUAAUUGUACACUAUUAUCAUUACAGAAUGCAAUUGCGUAAAUUUGUAUCUGUAGGUUUUACAAACGUAAAUCAAGAAAAGUUAUUGCCCCUUAAAUUUCUUUAUACAAAAGAGUGGAAUAUAUAUUCCAUGGACUUCUCAUUGUGCACAAUGUUUGUACAAUGAACAUCUAAAUUGCCAGCAUAAUUAUAGAAACUUCUUUACAGAAACUUAAUUCAAUAAUAUUGUAUACGAAAAAAAAAAAAAAUAAAUAUGCAAAAUAAUUCAAUGUACACAAAUUUAGUACAUAUUACAAAACAAUACAAACAAGCUGAUACCCAAAGCCAAGUUAGACUUUGGUUAAAAAUCAAGGAAGUUUUUAACAUAUUACUCUUAGACAAUCAGGUUUUAAAUAAAAUAAUGCAAGAUUAAAACUGGGUUCCAUCAUUAAAUUGCACUUGUUUAAAGGUUACAACAGCAAGCAUAUGAAUAAAACAGAAGAGCUCUAGCUCACCUCAGCAACACUGCCAAGGCAUUAUACACCUUACACAUGGGUAAAAAGUCAUGCAAUACCACAUAUUUCCAUGCCUUACUGCAAUUAGUUACACUUUGUGACCUUUUUAUACUAUCAAACUUUGUUACAUUUGCAAGUAUUGUACUACCAAGCCACUUUAAUUAGAACCUGCAUGAACCUAAAUACAGCAGGUAAAAAGUGAAUCUUAUGGAGAUCUAUCACAGGUUUUAGCACAAAGGUUAAGAAACUGCUUGGAAUUAGCUAACAAUUAACAAACCAGUUGCAAUGGUUACUGCUAAACCUUUGUGUAAACAUCUCUAACAAAUGCAAAACAUUACUAGCUACAGCUUCAUGUUCAUAAAACAUUCAUCUUAGCAUUAUGGACUUGCUAUCGAGUCACUUUGUUCAAUGAUUAUGUACGAGAUACACACAAAAGAAUCCUAAUCUUACAUAAAGAUGUAUAAUUACAUAGCAAUUCUUUUGAUUUUAAAUGGGGUAAGCCAGCAAUGCUUAACCACUGAAAGGGUCUGAGUAAGUCGGUGUCAAGAGACCAGUAAGUAAACCACAACUGUAAACAAAUAUCACCAUAAACACUUAAUAUGCAAUGCUGUUUGCAUGCACUACUCGGUAUUAAGCAUGUUUGAAAUUCUUCCAAGCCUAUAAAAUGAUUUUAUGUGGAUAAUCUGUAAAACAGCUGUAUUCUUCUAAAAAUCCAUGACACAUUUUUAGAGAAAAAUAUUUUGACUUUUUAUUCGAUACAUUGAGUAAAAGCUACAAAUGUUA